UGGCCUCCCAAAGUGCUAGGAUUACAGCCAUGAGCCACCGCACCCAGCCACUUGGGAAGAUUCUUCAAGUGACCAUUUGGUCAAGCGCCCAAGCUUUUAUGUAGGCAAACCUCCUAGUUAUCCUAGGCAGGUGGUGGCCAAUUCUUUUAAAGAUUUCCAUGGCUCUCGAUACCCCCAUCAUACUCCAGCACCCAUCCUGCCCUGGCUUAUCCUGACAAAAGAUUUUUUCCCCCACAUUUACCUGAACUCUGUCUUCCUUGCUAUUCAGAGAAAAUGAAGAAGGAAAGAGAAAGAACUACAGAAUUACCAGGAUACAAGGAAUUUGCUGUUAAGAUCUUCUUAACCUUCCAGUUGCUUGGGAAUCAUUGCCGUAGGGUGUCUCUGUACUCAACAGAAGGGUGAAGACGUUUUAGCAACAGUAGCAAAGCAAAUGAUCUUGGACUUACAGUUUCUUGAUUUCCGAUGAUUAAGCUUCUGCACAUACCAACCCCAAGACAGGGUCAUUCUAUAACUUCUUAAUAAGGUUAAGGUAUUUCGACUACUUGGUCUUCAGUUUCCCUCAGUAAUAGAGACACCAAGAUCCUAUUGCUCUCCAGCAACCAGGCAGGAGAGAUUUGAGUCAGAGGAAAGCACGAGAGAGAAGUUAAGAACAGCAAUUUCUUAAGUCAUAAACGGAGUCAGGACUGUAAGUGUGAUUUUCUGUUACCUGCCCCAGACCUCAUGGAAUUAAACUUUCCUGCCCUGAUCCCUUGGAUUCGUUUCUCCAACCCCACUCACCUAGCCCGGCCUCCCCGAAACACAAAUUGGAAUGGCGUUGGCUCCCGGGCACACUAGGGGGCGCCAGCGGGCUUGUUUUCCAGGAUGGCCCUAAAAUUCUCUCCAGCGAGGAGAGGACCAUGACGGCCAGGCCACGCUUGCUCUGAAAAGCGCCGAGCGUGGAAGGGUGUCUUGGAAUGGGGUCUAAAAGGGAGAACGACAUCCUUAUGACUUGCUUUAGGCUGCUUUCUGGAUGUAUUUUCAGAGCUGGGGAUGAGGAGAGGUUGCGUAAAGGUGCCGGCCUGCUGCUGGCCGGGGCUGGCAGCCUUUCAGCCGCCGCGGGUGAGUCAACACCUGGGAAUUGCAUCCAAGGGCGGCCCUUUCAAGCUGCCUGGAACUUUCUGCCAUCACACUGAGGCCACUGUUUGACCCAGUCCCGGGCCAGGGAGGCAGGAGCCGAUCACGUCCCAGGGCAGUGCUUCUCCCUGGCACUGAGUCCGUGGAAAGAGGCUGGGAAGGUUCUUUCCACACUUGAGGGCUGGCGUUGGGAAAAUAGGGUAGUGCUCUCCGCCCCAGUGAACAGCAAGAGCUCACUUCCCCCAGCAGACUUCUGCUCCACUGGCCUACUUUCAGCAUGGAGUGGAAGGAAGCCAGCUCCAGGAGGGCAGAGGCUUCCUCUCCACCCCUCUCUUCCACAACCUUCAACAGGCGCCUUGUUCUCCCCGGCCAGGGAACUGCGGAUGGUGACCAUCGUUUCCCAGCCCAGCAAGGGGAAAUGAGGGGAGGAAAUAAACGCAGGGUUUUUAUUGCCAAAUAUUUCUUUCCCUGGGAGGACAACGCAUUCAAACCGCUGAGUGGAGAUUGGAGUUAGUCCAGCCAUAAACCAUCUUAAUGAACACUAAUAGAGAACCGCAAUUAUUGUUGACUUCAAAAUGCAAACAAGAACUUUAGACAGUGAUCCCUAUCAGCCGGUGAGGCCGGGCACAGAUGCCGGGCGCUGUUUUUGCCGUUGCUUAGCAAUGGAAAAUGAACUGUUCCUGUCUGUUACCACUGGAGGUGGAGGUAGGACAAUGAGCUUUAUUGGACAGAAUAGGUAUGAAAUUAGUUUAUUCUUUUUCACUUGGAGAAGGCAAUUGGCAGCCAAGAGAGUCACUCGGAAAAGGGGUAUUUUAGAGGUUGAGGGUGACUUUCCUUCUCAUUACUUCGGUAAAUCCUAACCACCUUGUUUUCCUCUACAGAUAAAGUUUGAACUUUUGCCGGGAGUGUCCCUCCAAAACGAUCAUCAAUCAGACAGAAUAGCUGCAAAUACCAACUCACAGACCAGGUUGGGAAUUAGGUGAUAGGGUCUUGCUAUGUUGCCUCGGCUGGAAUGCAGUGGCUGUUCAUAGACAUUAUCACAGCACACUACAGUCUCAAACUCCUGGACUCAAGCAAUCCUCCUGCCUCAGCCUCCUGAGUAGCUAGGACUACUGGGAUGCACUACUGCUCUUGGCAAAUUAAGGAUUUUGAGAUGGAGAGACUAUCCUGGAUUAUCUGAUGGGCUUAAUCAUUGACAAAGGUUCUUAUAUAAGGAAAAGUCAAUGUGAUAAUGGAAGCAGAUUUGAAGAUGCUGUGCAACUGGCUUUGAAGAUGGAGGACGGGGCCACAAGCCAAGGAUUGUUGGCAGCCUCUAAGCUGGAAGAGUGUGGCAAAACUUGGAAAGAUGGGCAAAUCCAGUGUUGCUGAGACUGAGAAGACAGAAAGCAACUCUGUCCGCAGGCAAAGUAGUCCAGCAGGUCAGUCUCUGGAUGCACCAACCCUGAGGAUGCCAAGCAAAGAAGUUCAGGGUCCAGGAAAGACACACACGGGGACAGCGAGGGAGAAAGAGAUAGGAGGUAGGUUGAAAAAAAGCUCAACAUCACUAAUCAUUAGAGAAACGCAAAAAGCAACCAAAGCCCACUACCAGUUUUUGACUUUUUAGUAAUAGCCAUUCUGA
rnacentral:lncRNA from 1 species